UGGUCUGUUCUAACUUCAAUUUGAACUUGCCCCGUCAGCUCACAGCAUCUGCAUGCAAGUGAGCAGCCUUCUUUUCCUUCUCCUUCUACUGCCAUCCUCUCCUCCUUCUCCAGCCAAAUGUGCUCUGGCCUCACAGAGCCUCCCUCGGUUCCUGAACCAGCAUGAUAUCUGGCUGCUGGGUCAUUGCACAAGUUGUUUCCACAGUCCCAUCAGUGGUUCUUCUGACUCUAGUCCUUACCCAACUGCCAUUCAGGUGGUACCUUGCACCUCUCAACUAAUUGUCCAAAUUUUCCUCUAAAAUACCUUCCCCCCCGCAAAAAAAAAGAUUCCAUGAUCCCCCUACUUGAAAGUCUGGGCUGGUGGGCUGGUUCUCUAUUGCCUACAAAGUAAAUUCCACAUCUCCUGGUGUGCCUCUUUACAAUCUGCUCCUAACUUAUCUCUCCAUUUUCCAUAACUCUAAGCCUCUGCAUGUGAGGUUCCUCCUAGCUAGAAUAUUGGUCCAUCUCUUUUUCAUUUGGCAAACUCUUGUUCAUCCUUCAGAGCCUUACUUGGUUGUUACCUCCUCUGUAAGGACUAUUAUAAUAGUGCUGGUCACCUUUUAAUGAUCUGUUUGCAUGUCUGACUCCAUAAAAUUUCACUUCUUUGAGGACAAUUUGUCUUAUUUAUUUUUGUGUAACCACAUUUCUCAUCAAUACAAAUGAAGCCACAGAUAACCAUAAUCAACUCUCACUGCCCCAUCAUUUUGCCCUGUGUAAAGGACUUGAGGCCCCUCCGUUCCUUCCCCACUGCAGUAAUUGCUGAGAAUCCUGGGGUUGUCUUGCCUGUCCUUCCCAUGUCCUUCUACUUCGUACUCUGGUUUUCCAAGAUUGCCCCUCACCCCGGCCACUGAGAAACAUUGAUUUCUGGUCCACAUUAUUUUCCAGUGAAUGCCACAGGGCAAACCUGUCAAGUGGGAAAAUGACACCCUACUCUCUUCAGUUCUUGCCCUGGUUCUGUGUAGUAAUUUAUCCCCCGGGCACUGAAGCAACAUUGCUUGUGUCUUCCUGUGUUACAAUCUCAUAAAGACCCUCUUUAAACAGCUCCUUGAACUUCUGCUUAGAAUUGUUCUUUCUCUUCAGGCUCCAGUCCUGGUCUAUGAAGCCAGGUUGAGGCAGACGAUAUUUGGUCCUGGUGAAGUCCAGGUUAGUCCUGAUGCCUGGGAGACUACUUAGGCUAUUGGGGGUUGCUGAAAGAAUAAGGACAUGAAUAGAAUCUCUCUCUUUUUUUUUUAUGUGAGUGAUGAUUUCUCAGGUAUAGUUUCCCUUACCUUUACAGGUAGAGUAACAAUACUUAAUACAUAAGGUUAUUGUAAGAAAGCACUGGACAGUAUCUAGGACAUAAUAGGUGCUCAGCAAAUUCUAGUUUAAGCAGUAAUUAUUUGAUAAGAUGUCUGUAAUGUAAAUACAUGCUUGAAUAAAAAGUACAAAGCCAGAAGAGAAAAAGCUCUGGAGAAGAUAGGAACCACAGUGAUAG
rnacentral:lncRNA from 1 species